rnacentral:rRNA from 1 species
UGCAGUCGAGCGGAUGAAGAGAGCUUGCUCUCUGAUUUAGCGGCGGACGGGUGAGUAAUGCCUAGGAAUCUGCCUGGUAGUGGGGGAUAACGUUCCGAAAGGAACGCUAAUACCGCGUACGUCCUACGGGAGAAAGCAGGGGACCUUCGGGCCUUGCGCUAUCAGAUGAGCCUAGGUCGGAUUAGCUAGUUGGUGAGGUAAUGGCUCACCAAGGCGACGAUCCGUAACUGGUCUGAGAGGAUGAUCAGUCACACUGGAACUGAGACACGGUCCAGACUCCUACGGGAGGCAGCAGUGGGGAAUAUUGGACAAUGGGCGAAAGCCUGAUCCAGCCAUGCCGCGUGUGUGAAGAAGGUCUUCGGAUUGUAAAGCACUUUAAGUUGGGAGGAAGGGUUGUAGAUUAAUACUCUGCAAUUUUGACGUUACCAACAGAAUAAGCACCGGCUAACUUCGUGCCAGCAGCCGCGGUAAUACGAAGGGUGCAAGCGUUAAUCGGAAUUACUGGGCGUAAAGCGCGCGUAGGUGGUUCGUUAAGUUGGAUGUGAAAGCCCCGGGCUCAACCUGGGAACUGCAUCCAAAACUGGCGAGCUAGAGUACGGUAGAGGGUAGUGGAAUUUCCUGUGUAGCGGUGAAAUGCGUAGAUAUAGGAAGGAACACCAGUGGCGAAAGCGACUACCUGGACUGAUACUGACACUGAGGUGCGAAAGCGUGGGGAGCAAACAGGAUUAGAUACCCUGGUAGUCCACGCCGUAAACGAUGUCAACUAGCCGUUGGGAUCCUU